rnacentral:rRNA from 1 species
GCUGGCGGCGUGCUUAACACAUGCAAGUCGAACGGAAAGGCCCUGCUUUUGUGGGGUGCUCGAGUGGCGAACGGGUGAGUAACACGUGAGUAACCUGCCCUUGACUUUGGGAUAACUUCAGGAAACUGGGGCUAAUACCGGAUAGGAGCUCCUGCUGCAUGGUGGGGGUUGGAAAGUUUCGGCGGUUGGGGAUGGACUCGCGGCUUAUCAGCUUGUUGGUGGGGUAGUGGCUUACCAAGGCUUUGACGGGUAGCCGGCCUGAGAGGGUGACCGGCCACAUUGGGACUGAGAUACGGCCCAGACUCCUACGGGAGGCAGCAGUGGGGAAUAUUGCACAAUGGGCGGAAGCCUGAUGCAGCAACGCCGCGUGCGGGAUGACGGCCUUCGGGUUGUAAACCGCUUUCGCCUGUGACGAAGCGUGAGUGACGGUAAUGGGUAAAGAAGCACCGGCUAACUACGUG